rnacentral:lncRNA from 1 species
CUUCGAUCCAAAAGAAUUGCCGUAUGUGUCCUAUCAGAAUCGAAAUAAUUCAUGGGGGCUUGAAUAUAUCUAGAUUUUACCACGGGUUGUCCCUUUAUGCCGAUAUUUUACCCCUCGCUAUCGCUCAGGGGUAAAAUAUUUGUCAUAAAGGGCCAACCCGUGGUAAAAUCACGAUAUAUUCAAGCCCCCAUGAAUUAUUUCUUAAAUAGCUUUUGACUAGAAUUGAUCUAUAAAUCUUACAGAUUUGCUGAGUCAAAAAUAAGUGGCUAAAAUAUUGAUUAUCAUGAAGUAAAAUUCUAUUGAAAGUGCUGAGAUUAUCAUGUUUGCUCCUAGUUUCUAUCUAUCACACAAUGUACUAACUUGUGGGUAAACAGUACAACAUGUACAAAGCUUUUUGUGGACAAAUUAAACUGAUUAUUACAUGCAUUACACUUAAUACAAUGAUGUCUCAAGGAUAGGAUUUUGAACAUAUUUUAAUCAACAGCUACAUAUCAUGACAGCUUUUAUUUUUAUUCAUCCCACCCUUUUGUUUCUUAUUUGCCAGAUAAUGCCUUCCUAUGAACUAAACAUAUACAAAGUACAUGUAAAUAUAUACUAAAUGAUGCAUUUUCAGAAAAUCCUAAUCAAAAUGCCUUUAAUAAUUGGUACAACUUGAUAAACCUCUUGUAGCAUGUUUUGAUACUGACAGUUUGUCUACAUCAUGGCAGUUGAGUACAUGUUUUCCCCCGCAAAACUGGGGAUAUAGUAAUGAGCCAAUAAAUCAUAUUUAAAAUGUUGAUAAUAUCUUGUUAUUGAAAAUGUUGAUUAUUAUAAAUUUGUUGUUAUUGGAAAUGUGAAAAAAAUAACCCUUGUUGACAUAUUGGUGCAAGUGAAUACUUUUGUUAUUUUCUGAUUAAUUUUUUAUGAUACAGAAAUGUUCUGUUGAUAAUAAUGAGAAAAUUGUCUGAAACCCAGUUCCUACUAAGUUUACAGACUCCCUGGUUUUGUUGUAAGUGCUAUUUAUUAGAUUUCGUGGCAUAAAGAUCAUGAUGGCUUUUGCCGUAACUUGUCAUCUGUCAAAAGAUUUGUCCAUCUGUGAAAAUGGUUUAUUUUAAACUUCUAGUCUGCAUUGACUGGUUGAAACCAAAUUGCUAGCAUUUUUAAUGGUCUCUUCCAAAUUAAAUGUGUCCCCAAUUGAAUUCUGGUAAGUUGAAGUUUUCUAGUCCUUUCUGUUAUAUAAAUCAUUUAGUGUUGAUGGAUGUCCAGAUAAUAAAUCCAAAAAUUGGCUAGAAAAAAUUAUAAGCAAAUGUGAUGAGGAGACCUUGGUUUAUUAGUUGGAGUCUCAUCCUAAUCAGGUGAUACUGUGAGCCUCUGGUUUCUUUACUUUUAAUAUUUAUUUUUUUGUAUAUAUACAUAAAUGUGAUCUGAAUUAACAAGGCUGUGAUAUUUUAUGAAGUGGUUUCAUUUUUAAUUCUUGAAAAUAAUGUUAAAUGAACAGAAUGUCUGUUUCAUACUUAUAAUUACAUGUACUUUGAGAAUUAUAAGUAUAUAUAUGUAUCCUCUAUAGAUAACAUUUCAUUAUAAUAAUUUCAAUGCUAACUAAUACAAAUUUUUCUUUGAAGAAUUUUAUGAGAAAAUAUUUUUUAAUAUAUAUGGCCUUUUUACAAUUUUUUCAUAAAUAUUUAUAUACUGUUUUGUAACAUGUGUU